rnacentral:rRNA from 1 species
UCGAUUUGGAGUUUGUUGCCCUGAGUGAUGGGCUCCGAAGCUAACGCGAUAAAUCGACCGCCUGGGGAGUACGGCCGCAAGGUUAAAACUCAAAUGAAUUGACGGGGGCCCGCACAAGCGGUGGAGCAUGUGGUUUAAUUCGAUGCAACGCGAAGAACCUUACCUGGUCUUGACAUCCACAGAAUCUUGCAGAGAUGCGAGAGUGCCUUCGGGAACUGUGAGACAGGUGCUGCAUGGCUGUCGUCAGCUCGUGUUGUGAAAUGUUGGGUUAAGUCCCGCAACGAGCGCAACCCUUAUCCUUUGUUGCCAUCGGUUCGGCCGGGAACUCAAAGGAGACUGCCGUUGAUAAAGCGGAGGAAGGUGGGGACGACGUCAAGUCAUCAUGGCCCUUACGACCAGGGCUACACACGUGCUACAAUGGCGUAUACAAAGGGAGGCGACCUCGCGAGAGC